GAUGAACGCUAGCGACAGGCUUAACACAUGCAAGUCGAGGGGCAGCGGGGAGGUAGCAAUACUUCCGCCGGCGACCGGCGCACGGGUGAGUAACACGUAUGGAACCUGCCCGUAGCAGGGGGAUAAGCGGAAGAAAUUCCGUCUAAUACCGCGUAAUAACUCCGAGAGGCAUCUCCUGGGGUUUAAAGGGUAACACCGGCUACGGAUGGCCAUGCGGCGCAUUAGCUAGUUGGCGGGGUAACGGCCCACCAAGGCGACGAUGCGUAGGGGUUCUGAGAGGAAGGUCCCCCACACUGGUACUGAGACACGGACCAG
rnacentral:rRNA from 1 species